UAAAACGUAGGAGGCGAGCGUUAUCCGGAUUUACUGGGCGUAAAGCGCGUGCAGGCGGUGCAGGAAGUCGUGUGUGAAAGCUCCCAGGCUUAACCGGGAGAGGCCAUGCGAAACUCCUGCGCUGGAGUCAAGGAGAGGUAAGCGGAAUUCCGGGUGUAGUGGUGAAAUGCGUAGAUAUCCGGAGGAACACCAGUGGCGAAGGCGGCUUACUGGCCUUGAACUGACGCUCAGACGCGACAGCAUGGGGAGCGAACGGGAUUAGAAACCCCGGUAGUCCAUGCCGUAAACGAUGCUCACUAGGCGUUAGCCCCGACAGGGGUUAGUGCCGAAGCCAACGCGAUAAGUGAGCCGCCUGGGGAGUACGACCGCAAGGUUA
rnacentral:rRNA from 1 species